rnacentral:rRNA from 1 species
UAGGGAAUCUUCCACAAUGGGCGCAAGCCUGAUGGAGCAACGCCGCGUGUGUGAUGAAGGCUUCGGUCGUAAGCUCUGUUGUUAAAGAAGAACACGUAUGAGAGUAACUGUUCAUACGUUGACGGUAUUUAACCAGAAAGUCACGGCUAACUACGUGCCAG